rnacentral:rRNA from 1 species
GAAAGCAGGGGAUCUUCGGACCUUGCACUAUUGGAUGAGCCUAAGUCGGAUUAGCUUGUUGGUGAGGUAAAGGCUCACCAAGGCGACGAUCCGUAGCUGGUUUGAGAGGACGAUCAGCCACACUGGGACUGAGACACGGCCCAGACCCCUACGGGAGGCAGCAGUGGGGAAUAUUGGACAAUGGGGGCAACCCUGAUCCAGCAAUGCCGCGUGUGUGAAGAAGGCCUGCGGGUUGUAAAGCACUUUCAGUAGAGAAGAAAAGCCUACGGUUAAUAACCGUGAGUCUUGACGUUACCUACAGAAGAAGCUCCGGCUAACUCCGUGCCAGCACGCCGCGGUAAUACGGAGGGAGCGAGCGUUAAUCGGAAUUACUGGGCGUAAAGCGCGCGUAAGCGGCUUUGUAAGUCGGAUGUGAAAGCCCUGGGCUCAACCUGGGAAUGGCAUUCGAAACUGCACAGCUAGAGUAUGGUAGAGGGAAGUGGAAUUUCCGGUGUAGCGGUGAAAUGCGUAGAUAUCGGAAGGAACACCGGUGGCGAAGGCGACUUCCUGGGCCAAUACUGACGCUGAGGCGCGAAAGCGUGGGUAGCAAAACAGGAUUAGAUACUUGGUAGUCCACGCCGUAAACGAUGAGAACUAGAUGUCGGGGGAAUUUGUCCUUCGGUGUCGCAGCUAACGCGUUAAGUUCUCCGCCUGGGGAGUACGCCGGCAACGGUAAAACUCAAAGGAAUUGACGGGGACCCGCACAAGCGGUGGAGCAUGUGGUUUAAUUCGAUGCAACGCGAAGAACCUUACCUGCCCUUGACAUUGACAGAAUCCCGUAGAGAUAUGGGAGUGCUUCGGCCUGGAAAACAGGUGCUGCAUGGCUGUCGUCAGCUCGUGUCGUGAGAUGUUGGGUUAAGUCCCGCAACGAGCGCAACCCUUGUCCUUAGUUGCCAGCACGUAAUGGUGGGAACUCUAGGGAGACUGCCGGUGAUAAACCGGAGGAAGGUGGGGACGACGUCAAGUCAUCAUGGCCCUUACGCCUGGGGCUACACACGUGCUACAAUGGUCGGUACAAUGGGCUGCAAUGCCGCGAGGUGGAGCCAAUCCCAAAAAGCCGGCCUCAGUUCGGAUUGGAGUCUGCAACUCGACUCCAUGAAGUUGGAAUCGCUAGUAAUCGCGUAUCAGCUACGACGCGGUGAAUACGUUCCCGGGCCUUGU